rnacentral:rRNA from 1 species
GAUGAACGCUGGCGGCGUGCCUAAUACAUGCAAGACGAACGGGGUGUUUGAGCAAUCGGACACUUAGUGGCGAACGGGUGAGUAACGCGUUGGUGACCUGCCCCAAAGCGGGGGAUAACAGCCUGAAAGGGUUGCUAAUACCGCAUAUGAUGAUGAGAGACUAGAAGCUUAUCAUUAAAGGAGAAAUCCACUUUGGGAGGGGCCUGCGUCCCAUCAGCUAGUUGGUAGGGUAAAAGCCUACCAAGGCGAAGACGGGUAGGGGACCUGAGAGGGUGACCCCCCACACUGGAACUGAGACACGGGCCAGACUCCUACGGGAGGCAGCAGUGAGGAAUAUUGGGCAAUGGGCGGAAGCCUGACCCAGCCAUCCCGCGUGCAGGACGAAGGCCCUAUGGGUUGUAAACUGCUUUUCCUGGGGGAGAAACCCCCGCACGAGUGCGGGGCUGACGGUACCCAGGGAAUAAGCAUCGGCUAACUCC